rnacentral:rRNA from 1 species
UACGUAGGUGGCAAGCGUUGUCCGGAAUUAUUGGGCGUAAAGCGCGCGCAGGCGGCUUCUUAAGUCUGAUGUGAAAUCUCGGGGCUCAACCCCGAGCGGCCAUUGGAAACUGGGGAAGCUUGAGUACAGAAGAGGAGAGUGGAAUUCCACGUGUAGCGGUGAAAUGCGUAGAUAUGUGGAGGAACACCAGUGGCGAAAGGCGGCUCUCUGGUCUGUAACUGACGCUGAGGCGCGAAAGCGUGGGGAGCAAACAGG